UCUCUCUCUCUCUCUCUCUCUCUCUCACCCCCUCCCUCAUCCCUUCAUUUCUCCACUUACUGUAAAACAAGGCCUCUUUUUGUCCAGAGCCUCAUCAGACUCACAUGUUUCAGAAGAGAGGGAACGGAUAGGUGGAACAGAGGAAGAAAAGGAGUGAAGGAGAAGAAAGUGAUCUAAGAAAGCUCAGACUCUUGUGGACACUGAAGGCCAGGCUUUUGAGAUCUGAAGUCUAAAGAAAGCUGAGAGGAUUUUAGAUGCAAAUAAUAAUAAGAAGAAGGACGAGAUUCCAGAAGUGGACUUAGAGCUGGAGUUAUAGCUCUUGGAUUUAGAACAUCAGUGGACCAUGGAGAACGGCAAAGUGGAAGAUGCAGACGGACACAUGGAUGAUACAGACUUGCACAUGAUUCAGGUAGAGAAAUCUGUAGCUUCCUUUAGUGCCUCUUUUACUGCUCUCUCUCUCUCUCUAUCUCUAAUGGCUUUCACAUGAUCACAUCCUUGAUUUGUUAGUGUGUGUGUGUGUGUGUGUAGUGGGGACGGUCAUGUAGGCCACCAUUCAAGUAAAUUGAUUCACUUAUCUCCUCAUUUCUGAGGUCACUGAGGACACACACACACACACAUAUAAACACACACAUAAACACACUUAAAUCAUUGCUGUUCAAAUCACAGACAAUGAGUCUUAAUGGCGAGAGUGUGACUGAAUUGUAGCCACAUUUAGCUUGACCCUCUGCUACUAUAAUCACAUUAAAGUACACGUCCUGCACACACACACACACACACACACAAAAACACAUACACACGUGUGCUCCAGAGGAAGAAUCAGAACUUUGUUUAGUGGAGAAGCUGAUUUGUGAGAAGACAGUGACCUUCUGAAAAAUACUCCUUCUGUUCAGCAUCUGAGCAACCUUACACACACACACACACACUCUCACACACACACACACACACACACACACACACACAGACUGCUCAUGAGCUCAUGACUGCGGUAAAGCAUCAGGAGAUGUGUAAGACCUGAGAA
rnacentral:lncRNA from 1 species